rnacentral:rRNA from 1 species
AGCGCAGGCGGACCGGCAAGUUGGAAGUGAAAACUAUGGGCUCAACCCAUAAAUUGCUUUCAAAACUGCUGGCCUUGAGUAGUGCAGAGGUAGGUGGAAUUCCCGGUGUAGCGGUGGAAUGCGUAGAUAUCGGGAGGAACACCAGUGGCGAAGGCGACCUACUGGGCACCAACUGACGCUGAGGCUCGAAAGCAUGGGUAGUAAACA